AAAUAUGAAGGAGGUGCUGAAAGUUUGGAGAGGAUUUUAGAAUCUUAAGCUGUGUUAUCGUCGACGUCAUUUGUUUGUUCACAAACGCACAACAAACGCAAAGACCACAAACGCUUUUCAAUAAAUGAAUGCACUUGAAGAGCCAGUUGAGCAAGAAUUGUUGUAUGAGAGUGAAACAGAGGAAAUCCAGGAAUCACAAGAAAGCACUGAAGUACCGCCAAUCAACAACUUGGAACAUCAAGAAAGGUAAUUGACGCUUUUUUGUGGAGUUUGACUGAAAACUACACUACUGUUCUUGCAGCAGAAUCAUUUAUUUCGGACUUUGUUAAAAACAACUCAAGCACAAGACGCACAUGGGCUAAUAGAUCUUUUCACCAAACCAAAAUUAUCCUUUUUCCAAUCAACAUCCAUGACAUUCACUGGACACUACUGUGCUUUGGUAGAUGUAAAAACAGGUUGGAACUCAAGCUCAUGGCAAUGUUUUGAACCACUCCAUUGUAAACAGGAAGAUAUGUAUAACUGUGGAGUGUACAUAUGCUUGGGAGCAAAUUGUGGCUGUUUGCAAAAUAUGCAGAGAGGAUGACAAUGAAGACUGGCUGGGUUGUGAUCAAUGUGGUCAAUUUUUUCAUGCAAGUUGCCUUAAUGUUGACUUUGCCAUAACCUUGUCAACACAUUUUAGAUGCAGAUAAAAUUAUUAUCAAUAUUAUAUGACAUGCAACAAAAUCAUUGUUAUGGUAUCAAUGCAAAUUGUGCAAUUAAAAUGAGUGCUUCAAAAUAUAGUAAUGUGUGAAUGAUAAAUACUUUAAUUUAAGGUAAAAUGAACUGGAAGAUUUAAUUGAUUCGGUACAAUUGUGCUUGCCACUAAUUGAAUCUCACACAUGCAAUGAAUAGUUUGAAACUGUUGAUGAAAUGUUAUAAUAAACUACAAGUUUUACAAAUAUAUCUGAAAUAAAAUGGCUUAUUCCUAUUUCUUA